rnacentral:rRNA from 1 species
UGAGGAAUAUUGGUCAAUGGACGAGAGUCUGAACCAGCCAAGUAGCGUGAAGGAUGACUGCCCUAUGGGUUGUAAACUUCUUUUAUACGGGAAUAAAGUGAGGCACGUGUGCCUUUUUGUAUGUACCGUAUGAAUAAGGAUCGGCUAACUCCGUGCCAGCAGCCGCGGUAAUACGGAGGAUCCGAGCGUUAUCCGGAUUUAUUGGGUUUAAAGGGAGCGUAGGCGGACGCUUAAGUCAGUUGUGAAAGUUUGCGGCUCAACCGUAAAAUUGCAGUUGAUACUGGGUGUCUUGAGUACAGUAGAGGCAGGCGGAAUUCGUGGUGUAGCGGUGAAAUGCUUAGAUAUCACGAAGAACUCCGAUUGCGAAGGCAGCUUGCUGGACUGUAACUGACGCUGAUGCUCGAAAGUGUGGGUAUCAAACAGGAUUAGAUACCCUGGUAGUCCACACAGUAAACGAUGAAUACUCGCUGUUUGCGAUAUACAGUAAGCGGCCAAGCGAAAGCGUUAAGUAUUCCACCUGGGGAGUACGCCGGCAACGGUGAAACUCAAAGGAAUUGACGGGGGCCCGCACAAGCGGAGGAACAUGUGGUUUAAUUCGAUGAUACGCGAGGAACCUUACCCGGGCUUAAAUUGCAACUGACUGAACCGGAAACGGUUCUUUCUUCGGACAGUUGUGAAGGUGCUGCAUGGUUGUCGUCAGCUCGUGCCGUGAGGUGUCGGCUUAAGUGCCAUAACGAGCGCAACCCUUAUCGAUAGUUACUAGCAGGUCAUGCUGAGGACUCUAUUGAGACUGCCGUCGUAAGAUGUGAGGAAGGUGGGGAUGACGUCAAAUCAGCACGGCCCUUACGUCCGGGGCUACACACGUGUUACAAUGGGGGGUACAGAAGGCAGCUACACGGCGACGUGGUGCUAAUCCCGAAAGCCUCUCUCAGUUCGGAUUGGAGUCUGCAACCCGACUCCAUGAAGCUGGAUUCGCUAGUAAUCGCGCAUCAGCCACGGCGCGGUGAAUACGUUCCC